CCCCCCAAUUGUUCCCACCACCACUACCAGCGGUGAGUCCCUCCGUCCCACCUUCGAUCUACCGGUUUAGCCCACCGCAAUUACCACAACCGUUCUUGCUGUGUUCUGUAACCACCACCUACGCCGCCGGUUAUGCUCACAGCAAGCACCAGAACCGUUCGUGCCUUCGUGGGGUCUUCCGUAACCACCAUCACCAUGCGUGCCGUCCUUUGCAACCACCACCUCUGAUUCGCCGGUUUUGAAGGUCAUUGGUAUGGCGGAUUGGGUUGGCAGGAAUUUUGAAUCAACUUGAUUGCGAACGUGAAUAGAAAAUGGUGACUGCAAUAGUGGAUUCAGAUCCAACAUCUUGAACAAGCACUUGUCAUUGCACAAAAGGAAAGUAACGAGGUCAAAAGGCAACUUAGCAGGUGCUCCUUUCUAACGGUGCUAGAAACAGCUUGGUCAACGAUUAAACAAAAGCAUCACCAGCUGCAAGGCUUUGUGAUGAUCCAAAUGCAAAAAUGGAAGUACACUGCUGCUUUUGCUAACAAAGAAGUGGUCUUUUUUGUGAUACACAUCACAAAGUUAUUGCGGUAUUACCUCGUUUAUGCUACUUAAUGAGCUCCUUGACCCUCACAAAGGUUAUCUUAUGCAUGAUACAUGUAUAUUUAAAGAUAAUGGUAUAGUAAAGGAAACCCGUUAUGUUGGUCCUCAAAAUCAAGGCAUUAUGAUUAUGAAUUCUCUCCUACAAACUUUGUACUAUAUACCUUACUUUAAAAAGGUUAUGUAUCAGGUUGAUGCUCGGUAGAAUAAUAAUGAAGAACAAACCGUAUAGUAACAGAACUGGUGUAUAUACGGCUGCAUCUCGGUUGUUGAUUGCAACACCACUGCCUACUUACGUGCUACUCUGUUGAGGCAUUGGCUGGCAUACGGUGAAGAGAGGGAUACCUAAUGUGUGUUACAUAUGUAGAACAUUUAGAUGUACUUGAAUAUCAUUAUGUGAAGUCUAGUGCCAAGUACAAGCACCGAAGCACCACGAACAUAUCAAGUUAGCAGUAACAUCACUGAUCAGACGCCUAAUCUCGAACAAGAAGUGAAGGAUUGUACGCUUUAUAUGGAAUCUGACUGGACGGGAAUCAAGCAACUAUUAAAGAGACGAACGUUUGAUUUCAAUCGAGCAGCCAAGGCAGUUGAAGAAUGAAACCCACCCUUUCGUCCAGAAUCGUGCAAAACGAAGGUGCAUUCCACCUAAUUAAGUUUAGGAAGAUGUAUUGAACUAUAAUAAACUUAAUUAAGUAUUUGUGUUAUGUAUGUAUUAUUUGUAUCUUAGGUUUAUUAACUCGAAUAUUAUGUUUAUUAGGGUUGUAAACGAUGUAUUAUGUUUGUAAUUCAGUGUAAUGUUUGGAAGUUAGUUGAGAUGGCACAGGCAAACCGUCGUGGCGGUUGUUCCCGCCAAAUUCUCAACUGCCAUAACCGUUACAUUAUCAAUGUAUAUAAGGUUAUGU
rnacentral:lncRNA from 1 species